rnacentral:rRNA from 1 species
AUUGAACGCUGGCGGCAGGCCUAACACAUGCAAGUCGAGCGGAUGAAGGGAGCUUGCUCCUGGAUUCAGCGGCGGACGGGUGAGUAAUGCCUAGGAAUCUGCCUGGUAGUGGGGGAUAGCGUCCGGAAACGGGCGCUAAUACCGCAUACGUCCUGAGGGAGAAAGUGGGGGAUCUUCGGACCUCACGCUAUCAGAUGAGCCUAGGUCGGAUUAGCUAGUUGGUGGGGUAAAGGCCUACCAAGGCGACGAUCCGUAACUGGUCUGAGAGGAUGAUCAGUCACACUGGAACUGAGACACGGUCCAGACUCCUACGGGAGGCAGCAGUGGGGAAUACUGGACAAUGGGCGAAAGCCUGAUCCAGCCAUGCCGCGUGUGUGAAGAAGGUCUUCGGAUUGUAAAGCACUUUAAGUUGGGAGGAAGGGCAGUAAGUUAAUACCUUGCUGUUUUGACGUUACCAACAGAAUAAGCACCGGCUAACUUCGUG